UUGAACAGAUUAGAGCACCUUGAUUAGUUUGGAUACUGUAGAUAGCCUAUUUUCCGUGUCUUUCCUUUACCCCUAACGUGAUGCGUGCCUCCCUCAUUUAUUACUUUGCCUGGUCAUUAGUUCAGAAAAAAUUUACUUCCUUUUUUUCCGGGUGCGGUGGUUACCGGCAACCGGCUACUACGAUUUCUUUCCUUUCCUUACUAUUGCUGGGAGGCUCCCGGUAACCGUGGUGAGGAUUUUUUUUGUGCUUUGCCACUUUAUUUUACCGUGGUGAGUAGUUGUUUUUGGACACACCGCUUUAAUCAGGUCGGGAGAAGUCCCACUCUUCGAUUGGAUCCAGAGAGCUCUCUUCCCCACACGACCUCCUGGUCUCCACCAUGAGUGGCCGCCUAAUUUGCCUCGGUCGAACUGCCCAGCGAAGUCCUCCUGCUCUCCUCCUCUCGCCGGCGCUGCUGAAGUGAACCAGCCCGCCACCGGAGCUCCAGAGUUUCCAGCCCUCUAUCCCCUCCCAUCUCUCCCUUCCCCUCUCCAUCUCCGACACUCCCCACCCAUGGACGCCUCAACGCCUCUCUAUCCUCAUACGUGACCACCACUUCAGAGGGGGGCAUAGCCGAGGGGUGAUCUGCACUCCUCUCCAAUGACUCCGCCACAGCCAAAUCCGGUUUUAUGAACAGCGGCGCAUCGACCAUCCCGUCGGGUGUGUGGCUAGAGGGCAUAUCCAACUGGUGUCCUUGAGUGCAGCGCGGGUAGAAGGUGGGGAUUGUGGGCGUCAACGGCGCCGGCAAAACCACACAUCUCCACACCAUCGCCGGAUGGAGGAGCUCGACGGCCGCAACGUCGUAAAGGCCAACGAUAGCCUGAAGUUUGCCUUCCUCAGCCAUAAAUUCGAGGUCUGCGCCGCCCGGACAGUAGGGUGGAGUUUCUCAGCUCCUUCCAGGAGGAGAUGCCCGUGAAGGACUGCCUCAACCUGCUCCAGGGCUCUCUAGCGCGCCACCGAGGAUAUGGGCCUCAUGGGGUCAAGGGAUUUGCAGCUCACCAUCAUCGACAAGAGAGACUAGCUCAGACUAUUGGUGCUCUGUGUUGUUGAAUUCUAUGCAAGGUGACUGUCUGGCAGUAGUGUCUGGCAGUAGUGAACGCUUCGUAAGUGUGAGCAUAAGCCCUCCUUAUGUAGCAACCAGUGAAAAGAUUGUAUUCAACAGGUUGUUCAUGGAAAAAAACAAAAUGAAGGUCUACUUAAUUUAGUGAUUUGGUUUUGGUUCUUCUGGAUUAGUGUACUUUAAAUUUCAGAUUUCCUAAUUCAACAGGCUUAGCUAUGAAAACCCAGCAAUACUAUCCUGUUUCAGGUUUGCAGUUUGUCAAUACACAUUCUUUCUUUUAUUUAGCGUUUAUUAUGCAAUCCAUAACUACAGUUCUGAUUUUCCCAGUAAAAGUGUUUCAACAUCUCCACUCCCGUGGCUGAAUUGGUCAAAGAUUUUCAAUACUAGGUGAGUGCAGAUAGUACAGCGGGAACUAACAGUACCAUGGGCAGAGAGUUUUGUUGCUAAGGUACACAUGUUGAUUUCAGCUGCGUGCCACAUGAGUCCUUAGAGAUUGUUGAGUGAUUUUCUCUGCCAAUAAUGUUCAUUUAUAAUGUUUGGAAAACAUGGUAUUUUAUAUCGAUUCUAUGAAAAACUCCACCCACAUUGUGCCAUUGUUCUAUUUGUCACACUCAUCACCCAUGGUGUUCUAUUUUUAGUUUCAUGCCAAGGUGAUGAGGACGCACUAUACCAUAUUCUCGGAUUCAUGGAUAAGAAAGGUCAGUGAGAAAAAAUGUCGUGUAAAAAACAUAUGUGAUGGAUAUAUAAAACGAGAAGAGACAUUAUAUUUGAAAUAGCGUGGGGUCGUCAGUAAACCUGAGGUGUUGCACUGAGCUACAAAGCAUGUUGUUUCACUGGCGAGUUUCCAAAUUUUCACAUGGUGGAUUCUAGAUUACUCUGCGGUAUACAUUUACGGAUUCCCUAGCUUUUUCCUCCAUAAACAUUAGGUAAGUAUAUAUAUAUAUUUAAGUAUGUGGUUAGAUAACUUUCUAUGACUAUUGUGUGCCUCUCUUGACUUACUGGGAGAGCAAGCUGCUAAAUUUAAUGGCUGGAGCAAUUUUUGUUGGCGCAUUGGUUCAGACAUACACUCUUCCAUUUUUCUGAGUUACGCGUUGGCUAGAUAUAACUAGAGUAACUUUAUGUUCAGCUGCAUGCUUACCAUUUCUGUAGUAUUUUCAUUCUUCUCAGUCGUGUUGACUAGGUUUCUAACUAAUUGGUGUCGGACAUAAUGCUUUCGGACAUCCCUUAGUACUAGACUCGAAAAUUUAGUUUUCGUUAUGUACCUCUCUUCUUAUAAUUAUUGCAGAUUUUUUUAGUCCAAGAAGCAUUGAAAUCUUACUUCUAUCCUAGGGGAACAGAAUAGAAGGAUGCGCACCAGCUAAUUGUAUAGUCCAAUUCAAGCCACCGCUAAAAGAAGGGGAACAGAAUGGAAGGAUGUGUGCCAGCUAAUUGUAUAGACCAAUUCAAGCCACAGCUAAAAAGAGAUUUAGCUUUCUACUAGAAGCACCAUUCUUCCGUUGGAGUUCCUCGCAUCACUAGGCUUAUGGUAGCUGAUACUGAAGUUCACAUACUGCUGGUCAUCCUCACUGAGCUCUCUUAAGUUCAUAGUAUAUCUUAAGAGUUUGGUGUUUGCUGAAACAUAUAGAGUGCUUGGUGAGGUGUAGGUGUGUCAGUUCGCAUGUGCAAUUUUCUUUUUUUUCCUCUUGCACACUCUACAUGUGUACUAAGCCAUAGUAAAAUUUAAAAUGGUUGGUGCUGAUGUGCAAGCACUAUCCGCGGUUUUCGCUCAAGUAUGUUGUAACUAGGCGUUUUGUCUUUGUAAAUGCUGCCGAAGUGUUUGAAAUUCAGUAUUCCAGUUAGCCACGGCAGUUUGUGUCAGUUAAGUAGUGUUUGUUACUGAAUUUAUUGUCAAUUCAGUGAGUUAAG